UAAGUCAGCCACGAAUAGGCUAUCCCAACUAACGGCGGGAAAGACUCCACGGAGGGUGUAAGACCCGUGUGGGCGCGUGUUAAAGCUGUGCGGGCUCGGCCUCUAUUCCCUGAGAGUCGCGUUGCUUGAGCAUGCAGCGCUAAGCAGGUCGUAAACUCGAUCUAAGGCUAAAUAUCUCCACAGAACCGAUAGCGAACAAGUACCGUGAGGGAAAGUUGAAAAGCACUCUGGAGAGAGAGUCAAAAGACCGUGAAACCGCUCAGAGUAUAAGCCCAUGGCAGCUUGGAAGGCAUAUCGAAAGCGGGGCAUCGUUCUGCCUUCGCGGGUGGUCGGUGUUACCUUGCUUCUGUUGUGGCUCGUCAUGGUAGGGGGGUCAGGUCCACAUCCCGCCGUCGUGUGGGGGGAUCUUGGGUGUGUUGUGGUUUUUCGGUUGGCUUCGGCUGGCCGGAGGGCUCUUCGUGCUCGGUUCCUCUUUUGACACGGACGUUCAGACUCAGAGGCAAGACGCGAUAAACAGCCCACCACGGCACGUUGUGAGGUCACCCACAGGCUCGACUUUCGAUCGUGAACCUUGACGCCGAGCAAGCACAAUGCGUGUCGCUUAUGUUCCUAACCAGGCAACGCUGCCAGGACCGUGGAACGACACGCGCUCAACAGUCAGGUUCGGGCGGAGACAGAGUUCUGGUACGAUCCUCUUGCGACGAGCCGGCUUCUGGCCAAUAUCCGAUGCUCAGGUCUCCCGCAUGUGCCGCGGGAGAUCGCCUUGACGGUCUGGA
rnacentral:rRNA from 2 species